UGACGAUGUCGAUCUGUAUGUCGGUGGACUUCUAGAGAAGUCCAAGAAAGGACGUGUUGGAGAAACAUUUGCAUGUUUGAUUGGUAAACAAUUUUAUCUGACAAAAUGCGGAGAUAGAUAUUGGUAUGAGAGGAGAGACUCAGAUUUUGGCUUCACAAAAGCACAGCUAAAUUCAAUCAAAGAGAUAACAAUGUCCAAAGUGCUCUGUGAAAACCUUGAAUUGGAUCGCAUUCAAAAGGAGGCUUUCGUCCAACCCAAAAACAAAAGAAAACUGAAGAAAUGUAGGAAUCUGCCCGAUUUGAAUUUAAAUUUAUGGAAAGAAAAUACUGUCGACCAGCAAACAUAUUAACGAGAUAUCAUGAAAAUUUUAAAAGAGUAUGACAGUAGCACGUGCAAUUUUUUUCGCGCUACCAAAACUGUU